AACUAUAAUCGUCCUAAGGUAGCGAAAUUCCUUGUCGGGUAAGUUCCGACCUGCACGAAUGGCGCAACAACUUGGGGACUGUCUCAACGAGGGACUCGGCGAAAUUGCAUGGCGAGUAAAGAUGCUCGCUACCCACAGCCGGACGAAAAGACCCCGUGAAGCUUUACUAUAGCUUGAUAUUGUGUUUCGGUUUGUUAUGUUCAGUAUAGGUGGGACCCCGCAGUAAUGCGGGGGCCAGUGAGAUACCACCCUUAACAUGUUGAAAUACUUACCUCCUUCCGUUAUCCGGAAAAGGGACAGUAUCUGGCGGGUAGUUUGUCUGGGGCGGAUGCCUCCUAAAAAGUAACGGAGGCGUUUACAAAGGUUGGCUAUCCCGGAAUGGAAACCCGGGAGAUAGUGUAAAGGCACAAGCCAGCUUUACUGCGAGACGUACAUGUCGAGCAGUCGCGAAAGCGGAACUUAGUGAUCCGACCGUCCAAUAUAGGAUGGCGGAAGCUCAUCGGAUAAAAGUUACUCCGGGGAUAACAGGCUAGUCUUGCCCAAGAGUUCAUAUCGACGGCAAGGUUCGGCACCUCGAUGUCGGCUCGUCGCAUCCUGGAGGGGUAGCACCUUCCAAGGGUUUGGCUGUUCGCCAAUUAAAGCGGCACGCGAGCUGGGUUCAGACCGUCGUAAGACAGGUCGGUCUCCUAUCCGCUGUGGGCGUAGAAACUUGAAAAGGCACUUCCCCUAGUACGAGAGGACCGGGAAGUACAAACCUCUAGUGUGCCAGUUGCCCUACCAAGGUCAUUGCUGGGUAGCUACGUUUGGUUAGGAUAAGCGCUGAAGGCAUAUAAGCGCGAAGCCGUCUUUAAGAUUAGGUUUCAUAGGUUCGUCGGAGACUACGACGUUGAUAGGCCCUAGGUGUAAGCCCCGUGAGGGGUUCAGCCGAGGGGUACUAAUAAACCAUUU
rnacentral:rRNA from 1 species